GUUUGAAACAUGUUUGAUGAAACAAGUUUGGCUAAUAUAAUCUAGUAAGAAAUUUUUUAAAGACUAGAAGCUUUCGAACCAAGUUCAAUCUUGAGCAUUUUUUUUUCCAAAAAGCAUUUUUGGUUUGGACAAUCUCACUGGCAGGGACAUAUGGGCAUGCAAAAAUUGUUUGCAAUAACAACCUCUAUUCAUAGUUAUUGAAGUUCCUGUUCCUUUUUGGCAACUCUUGUACUGCUGUUCCAAUUCAUGGGGCCUGGCUUAUUUUCCUCACUUUUAUUAAAAUUUGUAAACUAUACAAUGCACGGUCUCACCUAACUGCUGGUGCAUAUUAUUGGCCUUAUAUGACAAAUUUCCAGUUUGUUUCAUUUGUACCAUUAGGGCUAUGCCAUUCUAUAGAAAGUAAUUGCAGAAUGAGAUGUGAUUCCUGCCGAUUUGCCCCAUAUUUUAAAUGAUAUAUUUUGUGUCCUUUUAGGAAAAAGGGUUUUUCUGCAAUUGAGGAUUAACAUGUUAAACUACAUAGUCUUGAGGUUUUAGGAUUUGCUCUUUUAUGAGCUUUUUGGUGCAUACAUAUGUUGGAUAUUUUAGAAAAAGUUGGUCCAAUAUUGAGGAUUAAUCUGUUAUGCCAGGGUCUUCAGUUUUUAGGCUUAAAUUUUGACCUCGAGUGGUUCCAUUAUUGAGAUUAAUCUUGUUAAGCUGCAUAAACUUUAGUUGUAAGGGAUUUGUUCUUUUGCCAGACUUUUGUGCUUUGCUUCUUGGCACAAAAAUUUCUUCGUCAUUCUAGGAAAACAAAUUGUUCCACGCUUUAAGUUUUUAGGUUUUUGUUGUUUUGUGAGCCUUUUCUCCUCUACUUGCAUGGACAAAGACAAUUUUUUCCCUUCUCAGAAAAACUUGUUAUUAAUCAAUUGUUAAGCUAUUUACGUGUACUUGGAAGGUGUUGUAAAUUUCUGAGAUCAGUGAUUUAAGUGAUCUAGAAGGAUAGACCUAAACUGACUUGGAUGAG
rnacentral:misc_RNA from 1 species